GAUGAACGCUGGCGGCGUGCUUAACACGUGCAAGUCGAGCGAUGAAGUUUCCUUCGGGGAACGGAUUAGCGGCGGACGGGUGAGUAACACGUGGGUAACCUGCCUCAUAGAGUGGAAUAGCCUUCCGAAAGGAAGAUUAAUACCGCAUAAUGUUGAAAGAUGGCAUCGUCAUUCAACCAAAGGAGCAAUCCGCUAUGAGAUGGACCCGCGGCGCAUUAGCUAGUUGGUGGGGUAACGGCCUACCAAGGCGACGAUGCAUAGUCGAGUUGAGAGACUGAUCGGCCACAUUGGGACUGAGACACGGCCCAA
rnacentral:rRNA from 1 species